UUUAAUUCCAGCACUAGAGAGGAAUAUAUGGUGGGAGGAGACAGGAGCUGAGGACAGUGUGCGGUUUGGUGGAGACAGAUGCAGUCUGAGGAACAGUACAGUCUGGAUAUCCAUUCUGAGGACAGAAUCGCCCUCUGGUCUGAGCAUUGGUAGAGAUAGUAGCUGGCCACUUUGUUUCUCUGAUCUUCAGCAUUAUCCUCAAUAUCUGACUCUGAGUUUUUGUUAUUAUUAAGACCAAAGAGAAUUAGUGCUACAGGCCAUUUUCAAAUUAUUUUCAAUCUUUCCGAGUCUUCGGUUUCCUUAACUGAAAAAUGAGGAUGAUAACACCCAGGGUUGCUAUUAGAUGUAUGCGGUGGUGCUUUUCAAUUUUAAAACCUUCUCUGUCUAUAUAUUAGUCAGUUAUGUUAUAUCACUUCACUUGAUCUUCGCAGUAACAUUUUCAUUUGGCAGCUGGCAUUUUUCAUUUUGCAUAUGAGGGAACUGAAGUGGAUCAGUGAAACACUAUUUGCCAUAGGUUACCUAGCUAGUCACCAGAAGUUUGAGGUUGUCUAGGUACUCUCUCCCACCACCAACCCCCAACCUGCUCCUCCCUUACAGCUCCAGAGGAUGAAGCAAUGUUAGGACACACAUGUCAUAGUCAUGUAGCUAAUGGAUGGAGACACAAAAUUUUUGAAGGGUUUUUGAUGUAUAAGGUAGUUUGGUUGGAAAAACUAAAUCAUGAUAGAAAGAAAUGGGCUAAAGAGUUAUUGACCUUGAGGCUAACCCUGUACUUGAAGUUUUGGCCCCUUUUAUAUCCUAAUAGGACAAUCUCAAUUGACAGAUCAUCUUUAUAUGCCACUGGACACCUUCAGCCUCCAAGAUUACCAGUAGCUGGAUCUGUUUACUCCAUAUUUACAAUUCUGCCUAUCAUCAAACAACUAUCAAACUCUUACUAAAUUUUUUGUUAUGGCUUCCAGAUGUCUGGCCAAAUAAACCUCUCUGAGCCUCCAUUUCUCCAUUCUGUAAAACUGGAUUGAUAAUAUCCCAGCAGGAAUUAAGCAAGAUGAUAAAAUAGCUGUUGGUGGGCUGUUGCUAGUGGAAACACCUGCUCCAACACCCCACCCUGUGUUUGAUGGUUUUUAUGCUCAUAGGAUGUCUGUUUCACAAUGAGGCAAAAGCACAGGAGUAUUCUGGGAAGUAUGGGCAGACAGAGUUGCUAUGCUGCCAGAGGAGAAACACCAUGCCAGGCAUUACCCGAAACAACUGGAAGGCACUUUGGAAACAUCAUUGAAAUCAUCAAACAAAAUACUGUAAAUUUGAAGGACAGAAAUGGCAUCAAGCAAGCCGGGCGGUGGUGGCGCAUGCCUUUAAUCCCAGCACUCAGGAGGCAGAGUUCGAGGCUGGGCUGGACCAACAGCUUCCAAAAUAAUACAGAGAAACCCUGUCUCGUAAAAACCAAAAAAAAAAAAAAAAAAAAAAAAAAAGGCAUCAGGCACCUAGUAAAAACUCAGUACACAUAAGCUCCUUAAAUUGAGUGCGCUUGAGUAUCAGGCAAAGAAACCCUCUGUUUAUGAGUCUUCUAAUGCCAUCUUUGCACUGAAUUAGUGUGUGUGUGUGUGUGUGUGUGUGUGUGUGUGUGUGUGUGUGUGUGUGUGUGUGUGUGUGUGUGUUCAGGAAGCAGCCAUUGGGACUAUCCUUCAUGGGUCUUCUUGUGAUUAUAGUAGUUUCUUUUUUUCUUUAAAGAUUAAAUCAUUUUUUUCUCCUUUCUGUUCAACAAAGACAACAGCCCUUUGGUUUUUGAUAAAUGUUUCUUUCCUUGUAGCAGGUGGGUUUGCCCCAGGCACUAAGAACUGUGCUUUUAAAACACACAGAAGCCCAGCUGUUUGUAUCUGCUGCAUCUUUUUUCUCCUAUUUUUUGCCCUGAAGGCUGGGUUUUCUCUGCUUUGGCAGGCUGAUAACAUGUGGAAGGGAGUGAACAGGUCUAACUAAUAGACUAAUUAGUGAUACAAGCCUUUAAUAACUGAGUAUAGGAAAGCCAUUCCCUACCCCCAAGUGAUUAAUUUAUUUAUUGCUGUUGUGCUGCAUUAGGGUAAACUAGUCAACUUCUAGCUAUUGGCAAAUUCAAUCAAUCCCCUUUCUUCAUUUCCUUCCUUUUCAUUUGCCACAGAGUGCUCAGGCAGUAUGGAAGAAUCAAUUCAGCUGACAGGCAGCUCAGGCAGAUGUGCUAGGACCCUGAUGUCACCAUUUCUCACACCAUUAGGAACUGUAGGAACUGUGAAAAUCCAGCUACUCUCAUGUGCUUGCUUUUUAAAGGCCCUUUCCUUGUGGCCCCUUCCACCGAUGGUUACAGCCUACCAUCUCUGUCUUUCAGAACCAGCCUACUAUGGGGCUUAAAACAUAUAUUGACAUUCAAUGGCCUGGAUUUCAAUCUAGGCUUUCUCACUGGUAGCAUAGAGGAUCUAAGACAAGUCCUUUCACUUCCCUGUGCCUCAGUUUUCCCACUUGUAAAACGUUGCUGUGAAACUCUUAUCUUUUGGUUAUGAUGUGGCCAUUGUUGUCUUGAAGUCAGAACAGCUGUAAUCAUCAUUCACAGUUGACCCUCACAAGAUCGGGCCCAGUAUAUGCCUAGUACACACAAAGAUAAUUUGAUGAAUGCUAGUAGAAUAAAUGAGUAGCAUAAUUGGUGAGUAGAUUAUGAAGCUUUGAAGUUCAAAGGGGGUGAAAAUAAGAAGAAAUGAAUAAUAAAUCAAAAUAAUAAAAGCC